ACCCCUGCGUCCCCCACCGCGACUCGCACCUCGGCCCCAAGUUCACUUUCAGCCUUCAGAGGCCCCGUGGCCUCCUCACCGUGCUACCCCGGCUCACCAUGUGAGCAAAAACACAUCCCGAGCCCUACGGUAGUGGGGCUUAAACUACGCUGGGGCGACAGGCCAGUGCACGUUAGCCGGUGCCGUGAGUGCUCUGAGGACCGGCCCACGGAGCUGACGCCAAGUAAGGGAGGCCUCUGGUCUGGUCCUUGGGCCCCAGAGGCUCGCCUAGGGAAGCGAUAUUUGAGCUGAGCCUUGAGGGAGUACGGGAGAAGCAAGUGGGUCUGACGAGGUCGGUGGAUCCCCUCUGCACCUGAGAAGCUCUUUGAGGUCAAGGAUCCACCAAAGAGUUCUGCACUGUGCUUUGCUGAGAUAAGCACUGGGUUUUCAGUGAAACUGGAUUGGAUUCAAAUCUCACCUCUGCCUUCUGUGAAUCUGUGACCUGAGGAACUACCUAGGUCAUACAGUGAUAUUCUUAAGAUGGCCUUGUAGAAACUCAGCAACUGACAGCAAUGGCCCAAGAGUCCUGCAGAUCUGAAGUCAGCAUCCAGAAAUGGUGACCCUUCUAACACCACUCUCAUUCGAAGGCUCAAUGAUCUCAUCUUUGAAGAUAAGAAGAGGUGGGAUCUCUGGUGACUCGAUUGAAGUCCUCCCUGCCCCCCGAAACCUGCAGAGUACAGAGCUUUUGGAAUAUACACCACCCUGAUAUCAAAGGAAGGAGCCCUGUUGGAGGAAUUGACAUUUCCCCUCUCGUCUCUGGGUUAAUGGAAAGACCUGUAUUCAA